rfam:Pan troglodytes isolate Yerkes chimp pedigree #C0471 (Clint) chromosome 17, whole genome shotgun sequence.
GGGGGUAUAGCUCAGGGGUAGAGCAUUUGACUGCAGAUCAAGAAGUCCCCGGUUCAAAUCCGGGUACCCCCU